UACGUAGGGGGCAAGCGUUGUCCGGAUUUAUUGGGCGUAAAGAGCGUGUAGGCGGCCAGACAGGUCCGUUGUGAAAACUCGAGGCUCAACCUCGAGAUGUCGAUGGAAACCGUCUGGCUAGAGUCCGGAAGAGGAGUGUGGAAUUCCUGGUGUAGCGGUGAAAUGCGCAGAUAUCGGGAGGAACACCAGUGGCGAAGGCGGCGCUCUGGGCCGGAACUGACGCUGAGGAGCGAAAGCGUGGGUAGCAAACAGG
rnacentral:rRNA from 1 species